rnacentral:rRNA from 1 species
GCUCGCAAGAGAACCGGAACACAGGUGCUGCAUGGCUGUCGUCAGCUCGUGUCGUGAGAUGUUGGGUUAAGUCACGCAACGAGCGCAACCCUUGUCAUUAGUUGCUACGAAAGGGCACUCUAAUGAGACUGCCGGUGACAAACCGGAGGAAGGUGGGGAUGACGUCAUGUCCUCAUGGCCCUUAUGGGUAGGGCUUCACACGUCAUACAAUCGUCGGGACAGAGGGUCGCCAACGCGCGAGGGGGAGCCAAUCCCAGAAACCCGAUCGUAGUCCGGAUCGCAGUCUGCAACUCGACUGCGUGAAGUCGGAAUCGCUAGUAAUCGCGGAUCAGCAUGUCGCGGUGAAUACGUUCCCGGGCCUUGUACACACCGCCCGUCACACCAUGGGAGUGGGUU